rnacentral:rRNA from 1 species
AGAGUUUGAUCAUGGCUCAGGAUGAACGCUGGCGGCGUGCCUAAUACAUGCAAGUCGAGCGAAAAUCAUUUGAACUGAGAUUCGUCAAGGUGAUCUUGAAGAAAGCGGCGGACGGGUGACUAACGCGUAUGCAACCUGCCCUUACCUCAGGGAUAGCCAUUGGAAACGAUGAUUAAAACCUCAUAAUGCCGAAGAGUCACAUGUCUUUUCAGCCAAAGAUUUAUCGGCUAACGAUGGACCUGCGUCUGAUUAACUAAUUGGUGAGGUAACGGCCCACCAAGGUGACGAUCAGUAACCUACCUGAGAGGGUGAUCGGCCGCAUUGGAACUGAGACUCCGUCCGAACUUCUACGGAGGGCAUCAUUAACGAAUCUUGCACCCUGGGGGAAACCCUGAUGCAUCAACGCCGCGUGAACUAUGAAUGCCUUAUGGUUGUAAAGUUCUGAUCUGUGGGAAGAAUAAAGUGACAGUACCCCACGAAAAAGCCCCGGCUAACUACGUGCCAACAUCCGCGGUAAUACGUAUGGGGCAAGCGUUAUCCGGAAUUAUUGGGCGUAAAGAGUGCGUAGUGUGGUUACCUAAACGCAAGGUUUAAUCUUGAGGCUCAACCUCAUUCUGCCUUGCGAACUGGGCUACUUGAGUGCUGGAGRGKAAAGCGGAAUUCCCAGUGUAGCGGUGAAAUCGCGUAGAUAUUGGGAAGARCACSGGUGGYGAAGGCGGCUUUCUGGACAGUAASUGACACWGAGGSASRAAAGCGUGGGGAGCAAACASGGAUUAGAUACCACUGGUARUCCACGCCGUAAACGAUGAGCASUASUUGUUGGGUACGAAUGUAUUCAGUGACGCAGUUAACGCAAUAAGUGCUCCGUACGGGGAGUACGGUGGCAACACUAAAAAUCAAGGGAAUUGACGGGGACCCGCACAAGCAGCGGAGCAUGUGGUUUAAUUGGAAGCAACGCGAACAACUUUAGCAGGGCUUGACAUCCUUCUGACCGGAUCUUAACCGAUCCUUUGUUAGGACAGAGGUGACAGGUGGUGCAUGGUCGUCGUCAGUUCGUGUAGUGAGAUGUUGGGUUAAGUCCGGCAACGAGCGCAACCCUUGUCGUCAGUUAAUAACAUUUGGUAGAGGACUCUGACGAGCCUGCCGAGGUCAACUCGGAGGAAGGUGGGGAUGACGUCAAAUCAUCAUGCCCGUUAUGUUAUGGGCUACACACGUGCUACAAUGGCCGGUACAAUGAGAGGCAAAGCCGCGAGUCAGAGCAAAUCACCAAAACCGGUCCCACUUCGGAUUGCUGGCUGCAACUAGCUUGCAUGAAGUCGGAGUUGCUAGUAAUCGUGAAUCAGCAUGUCGCGGUGAAUGCGUUCCCGGGUCUUGUACACACCGCCCGUCACUCCAUGGAAGUUGGGGGCGCCCAAAGUUGGCUAAUCAAUAUGCUACCUAAGGCGAAACCAAUGACUGGGGUGAAGUCGUAACAAGGUAGCCGUA